UUCAGUGAAAAGCCAAAACUUAGAGGCAUUUAACUGUUAAUUAAAAAAUUGAAAAUUUUAUUUCUUCACUGAAG
rnacentral:tRNA from 1 species